rnacentral:rRNA from 1 species
UACGUAGGGGGCAAGCGUUGUCCGGAUUUAUUGGGCGUAAAGAGCGUGUAGGCGGCUUUACAGGUCCGUUGUGAAAACUCGAGGCUCAACCUCGAGACGCCGGUGGAAACCGUAAAGCUAGAGUCCGGAAGAGGAGAGUGGAAUUCCUGGUGUAGCGGUGAAAUGCGCAGAUAUCAGGAGGAACACCCGUGGCGAAAGCGGCGCACUGGACCACAACUGACGCUGAGGCGCGAAAGCUAGGGGAGCAAACAGG